rnacentral:rRNA from 1 species
AUUCCAGCUCCAAUAGCGUAUAUUAAAGUUGUUGCAGUUAAAAAGCUCGUAGUUGGAUUUCUGAUAGGGAGCCGAUCACCACUGUUGUGAGUGUUAGGUACCUGUCAUCCUUCUGUUAACCCCUGCGGCAUUCAUUUGUCGUUGGGCGGACCAGAUACUUUACCUUGAGAAAAUUAGAGUGUUUCAGGCAGGCCUAGCCGGAAUACAUUAGCAUGGAAUAAUGGAAUAGGACUAUAGUCUCGUCGUUGGUUACGUGGACUGCAGUAAUGAUUAAUAGGGAUAGUUGGGGGCAUUAGUAUUUAUUAGCUAGAGGUGGAAUUCUCUAAUUUGAUAAAGACUAACUUAUGCGAAAGCAUUUGCCAAGGAUGUUUUCAUCG